AACGAACGCUGGCGGCGUGCCUAACACAUGCAAGUCGAACGAGAAAGUCCCUUCGGGGGCUAGUAAAGUGGCGCAAGGGUGAGUAACACGUGAAUAAUCUGCCCUCAAACCUGGGAUAACUUGACGAAAGUUAAGCUAAUACCGGAUAAGACCACGUUUCGCAGGAAACGCGGUAAAAGGAGUCUCAAACUUCAUUUGAGGAUGAGUUCGCGGACCAUUAGCUUGUUGGCGGGAUAACAGCCCACCAAGGCUUCGAUGGUUAGCCGGCCUGAGAGGGUGAUCGGCCACACUGGAACUGAGACACGGUCCAGACUCCUACGGGAGGCAGCAGUGGGGAAUAUUGCGCAAUGGGCGAAAGCCUGACGCAGCAACGCCGCGUGAUCGAUG
rnacentral:rRNA from 1 species